rnacentral:rRNA from 1 species
AUUGAACGCUGGCGGCGUGCUUAACACAUGCAAGUCGAUCGGUAACAGGUGUAGCAAUACAUGCUGACGAGAGGCGGACGGGUGAGUAAUGCUUGGGAAUCUGCCUAUUAGUGGGGGACAACCCGGGGAAACUCGGGCUAAUACCGCAUACGCUCUACGGAGGAAAGCCGGGGACCGCAAGGCCUGGCGCUAAUAGAUGAGCCCAAGUCGGAUUAGCUAGUUGGUAGGGUAACGGCCUACCAAGGCGACAAUCCGUAGCUGGUCUGAGAGGACGACCAGCCACACCGGAACUGAGACACGGUCCGGACUCCUACGGGAGGCAGCAGUGGGGAAUAUUGGACAAUGGGGGCAACCCUGAUCCAGCGACGCCGCGUGGGUGAAGAAGGCCUGCGGGUCGUAAAGCUCUGUCGGUUGGAACGAAGUAAGGGACACCUAACAACGUGUCCCGAUGACGGUACCAGCAAAGGAAG